rnacentral:rRNA from 1 species
UACGAAUGGGGCAAGCGUUGUUCGGAAUCACUGGGCUUAAAGCGUGCGCAGGCGGUCAUGAAAGUCAGAAGUGAAAUCCCAGGGCUUAACCCUGGAAUUGCUUUUGAAACUCCAUGACUAGAAUACUGGAGAGGUUAGCAGAAUUCCGAGUGUAGAGGUGAAAUUCGCAGAUAUUCGGAGGAAUACCAAUGGCGAAGGCAGCUAACUGGACAGUAAUUGACGCUCAGGCACGAAAGCGUGGGUAGCAAACAGG